rnacentral:rRNA from 1 species
CGUCUAGUGGAUCCCUGCC